AGAGAGAGAGAGUAGUGCAGUGGUUAUCUUCAUGAUCUGAGCGAGAGAGAAUGUGCUACGGUAGUGGCAAGAUCUGAGCAAGAGAGAGGAUGGUGUAGCGGCUACCUUCAAGAUCUAAGCGAGAGAGAAGGUGGUGCGGCGACAAGGUCUGAAGAGGGUGGUGUGGCUACUUUCAAGAAUGAGAGAGAAGGUGCUAUAGCGGCGGCAAGAUUUGAGCAAGAGAGAGGGCGAUGCAAUGACUACCUUCAAGAUUUGAGCGAGAGAAAGAGGUGCGGCGGCCAGAUUUGAGCAAGAGAGGCAGAGAAGAGAGAAAUAAUUUCGGUCUAACCCUAAUCUAAAUGACCCUUUUUCUCCUAAUUUGCCAUUCAAUGGGUAAUUUGGUCAUACAAAUUGCUAUUUAUGCUGAUAUGGUCAUUUAUGUUAAGAAAGAUUAACGGAAAGUGAGUUUCGGAAAAUUCGUGUGGAGUGUAGACUGACGUGUCCGGCAGGGAUGGAAGAGAGGCUGUGGAACGUGGGCAACAAAAUUUUUCCAUUGAUUCACGGGAGACAGAUGAUGACAUGACAGUUGGUGAAAGAAGAAGAAAUUGGGUCUGUAUUAGUAUUACCAUUGUUGCCUGCUGAAGCACGCACUCGCUGAAAGAGAGAGAUUCCAGUCUCCACUAAGCUAUAAGCAGUCGGCGUGGAAAUGAUGACCUUCGAGAACAACAGAAGCCAAGCAACAACCACACUUGCCCUAAGGAGGAGGCCCAGCAAACAACAAUGGCGGACAUUCAUUCUUCAACGUCUACACGACUUGUCUCGUCUACUACGUACAAAGCAACAGAAGAUUGCUCAAUCAUCCAUCCCAAAAGCGAUCUUAUUUUUUUAUAUUUAUUUCUAGGGAAAAAGUGGCGAUGAUGAUGAUGAUAAGAUGGAACAAGGGCUGGAGGUGGAGGUGGAGGUGGAGACCUAUUAGCUAUAAGCAACAGCAACUACAGCGCAAAGCUGAAAGCUCUGGCUUCGGAAUUAAGAGGAUUGAAGAACAGAAAAUAGCAGCACUGUUGAACUGCAGGCUUUGGUUGACUCGAAUACCUUAUCUACUCUGUCUGUCUACCUUCGUUACUCAAUCCUUGGUUCUUACCCCUUCAAAUGUCCGACCCUCCCUGGCUCGUUCUUAUCUCUUCAUUUGCUACUUCAUCACCUUUUUCUUUCUCCUUUAGGCCUUUUUAAUUCCUAGAUGUGGCGCUACUCAAUUAGGUAACUUUCUAUUCCCUUUUACUCAAUCUUCUCAAGGCAGAAAAAAAAAGGCUCUUCCUCUUCUCUUUCUUCAACUUUUAAGCGUUUUCAUUUGGUUGGGUUCGGUUUAAUUUAUUAUUUCCUCACUCGGGUAGAGCUUGAUCCUGCUUAGCUUUUACAAUUCAGAAUUAUUCGCUAUUAUUGUGAGCGGUGAUCUUUUGGGUGGGUCGAAUUAGUGUUGUUUCUUCUUGAACUUGCUUUGGAAUUGAGUUUUCUAAGUUGUUUUCAUGGAAGAUUCCUCAGUCAUACGGUUGCAGACUUGCAGUUCUUUGAUUUGGGUAUGUGAUUUUGCACCUCAUCCCUUCUGCUUUUCCAAUGAUCAAUUAACUGUUUUCUGAUGAUUGGUUGUCUUGAUCAUACUUAAACUUGUCCUUGAUUUACUUGUUUCUGUGGGUUAUAGUCCCUCUACUCUUGGUCACUCACAACCCCUGCAUUUCUUGAUUCAGGACUAUGACAUAUCCCCCAAUCGAGAGAACAAAACUUUCAAUCGUUGUGAAGACUGUCAACAUGUUCCCACUGUGCUGUGUGUCCCUGUCUUUUGACUCUAGAACAGUAGAUGCUAGGACCAAAGGCGAGAAUUUGAUCCCGUCUCCUCAUUUCUUUCCCUACUCUCGCUUCUUUCCUCUGUUUGUCCAGGAAAUGGCAACCCAUAGGACCUCUGCUCGUGUUGGAAGUCAUUUUCUCUUAGUUCUUGCCAUUUGUUACUGCUUUAUCUUCGCAAGUUCACUGAACGAAGACGGGAGUGCACUUCUGGAAUUCAGAAGGAGCCUUAUUGGCAAUAGUAACAACAACAAUUUCCUAAACUGGAGUUUAGGAGAUUCAACUCCUUGUAAUUGGACGGGUAUAGAAUGUACUGGCUCUGAGGUAACAUCUGUAAAUCUCAGUGGCUUCAAUUUGUCUGGUAAGUUGUCUUCCAGUAUCUGUAAACUUCCUCAGUUAACUGCGUUAAACUUAUCAGAUAAUCUCAUCUCUGGUCCUUUAAUUAAGGAACUGGGUAAUUGUGGGAAUCUUGAGAUUUUGGACCUUGGCACAAAUAGGUUACACGGAGAAAUACCAAUAGAGAUGUUCCAAUUGUUCAAUCUAAGAAUUCUCUCUCUUAGUGAGAACUAUCUGUAUGGUCAAAUUCCUACUGAUAUUGGAAAUUUGAUGCAUCUCGAAGAACUUGUCAUUUAUAGCAAUAACCUCACUGACACAAUUCCUUCAUCGAUUGGAAAGUUGAAAAACCUUAGGAUCAUCAGGGCAGGUCUAAACUUCCUCUCGGGCCCAAUACCUGUAGAAAUCAGUGAAUGCCAUAACCUGGAGAUUUUAGGGUUGGCACAGAAUAAGCUUGAAGGUUCUAUUCCCAGGGAGAUCCAAAAGCUUAAGAAUCUAACCACAUUGAUUCUUUGGCAGAACCAUUUAUCUGGGGAGAUUCCUCCUGAGCUUGGGAACUGCAGUAGCCUGGAGUUGCUUGCUUUGAAUGACAAUGCUUUCACUGGAAGCAUUCCAAAGGAGCUUGGGAAAUUAUCCCGGUUGAAAAAGUUAUAUUUGUACACCAACCAAUUUACUGGAACAAUUCCGCGAGAACUAGGAAACUGUAGAAGUACAGUUGAGAUUGACCUUUCUGAGAAUCGAUUAACAGGUUUCAUUCCCAAGGAGCUAGGUCAGAUUUCAAAUCUUCGCCUACUUCAUCUUUUUGAAAACCUUCUACAGGGAAGCAUUCCUAGAGAGCUUGGAUGGUUACAACAGUUGAGGAAUUUAGAUUUGUCCAUCAAUAAUAUGACAGGUACAAUUCCUUUAGAGUUUCAGAACCUUACCUGUUUGGAGGAUCUGCAACUCUUUGACAAUAAGCUUGAAGGUACCAUUCCUCCUCUUAUUGGGGCCAACAGCAAUCUCUCUGUCCUUGACAUGUCUGAAAACAAACUUGUAGGUAACAUACCAGCAAAUCUUUGUAAAUUACAUAAGUUAAUGUUCCUGAGCCUUGGGUCAAAUAUGUUGUCUGGUAACAUUCCGUAUGGGCUAAAAACAUGCAAGUCUCUUGUACAACUAAUGUUGGGAGAUAACCAACUAACAGGAAGCCUUCCUAUUGAAUUGUCGAGACUUCAGAAUCUUUCUGCACUGGAGUUGUAUCAAAACCGAUUUUCAGGGCCUAUACCCUCAGAAAUUGGUAAGCUUAAAAAAUUUGAGAGACUCCUCUUGUCAAACAAUUACUUCUUUGGCCAUAUCCCCCCUGAGAUUGGAGAACUGGCACAGCUUGUGAUCUUAAAUAUUUCUUCUAACCAACUAUCUGGUAGUAUCCCUCAUGAGUUGGGAAACUGUAAAAAGCUCCAGAGGCUUGAUCUUAGCAGAAACCACUUCACAGGCUACGUACCAGUGGAACUUGGCAAUCUAGUGAAUCUAGAACUGCUGAAGCUAUCUGAUAACAGACUGAAUGGAGGGAUACCGACUACUUUAGGAGGUCUGCACCAUCUUACAGAGUUGCAAAUGGGAGGGAAUUAUUUGUCUGGCACUAUCCCCAUUGAGCUAGGUCAACUUUCUGCUCUUCAGAUUGCUCUUAACAUUAGCCAUAAUGCUCUUUCUGGGGAAAUUCCAGGUGAUCUAGGAAACUUGCAGAUGUUGGAAGCCCUUUAUUUGAACAACAACCAGCUGGUUGGUGAGAUACCUGCUUCAAUUGGUACACUGUUAAGUCUCAUUGUCUGCAACCUUUCUAAUAAUAACUUGGUUGGAAUAAUACCCAACACUCCUGCUUUCCGUAAAAUGGAUUCCAGCAACUUUGUUGGAAAUAUUGGCUUGUGCAGAGCAGGGUCAAAUAUUUGUCAUCCAUCUUCACCUCCAUCUUCUACCACACAUGCAAAUUGGUUACAAGAGGGUUCAUCAAGGGAGAAAGUAGUGAGCAUUACUUUAGCGGUUGUUGGAUUAGUUUCGCUGGUUCUUACUAUCAGUAUUUGCUGGGUUAUAAAGCACCGUGAACGUAUUUUUGUUUCCCAUGAAGAUCAAAUGAGUAAUGAUGUGGCUGAUAACUAUUAUUUUCCCAAAGAAGGUUUCACAUAUCAGGACAUCUUGGAAGGCACUGGUCAUUUUUCGGAGACUGCGGUUAUAGGGAGAGGGGCUUGUGGCACAGUUUACAAGGCUGUGAUGUCUAAUGGCAAGCAUAUUGCUGUUAAAAAGCUGAAAUCCAGUGGAGAAGGGUCGAAUGUUGACAGAAGCUUCCUUGCUGAGAUAUCAACAUUAGGAAAGAUUGGGCACCGCAAUAUUGUGAAGCUCUAUGGCUUUUGUUACCACCAAGAUGCUAACAUUCUCUUGUAUGAGUAUAUGGCGAAUGGGAGCCUAGGAGAACACCUCCAUGGCAAUGGAAAAACAUGUUCGCUUGACUGGAACACUAGAUAUAAGAUUGCUCUUGGUGCAGCAGAGGGUUUAUGCUAUCUCCACUAUGACUGCAAGCCUCAAAUUAUUCAUCGAGAUAUAAAAUCAAACAACAUAUUACUAGAUGAUUCCCUAGAGGCUCAUGUUGGGGACUUUGGUUUGGCAAAGUUGAUCGACUUUCCAUUCUCAAAAUCCAUGUCUGCUGUUGCAGGUUCAUAUGGCUAUAUCGCUCCAGAGUAUGCUUACACAAUGAAAGUCACAGAGAAAUGUGAUAUCUAUAGUUUUGGGGUUGUUUUACUGGAAUUAAUUACUGGUAGAUCUCCUGUUCAACCCCUCAAUCAAGGAGGAGACCUGGUCACAUGGGUGAGAAGAUCAAUACAAAAUAAAGUGCCAACAUCUGAUAUAUUUGAUGAACGGCUGGAUCUUAGCAGAAGGAAAACAGUAGAGGAGAUGUCUCUAGUUCUCAAGAUUGCUUUGUUUUGCACUAACACAUCCCCAGUCAAUAGACCAACCAUGAAAGAGGUCAUUGCUAUGUUGCUAGAUGCUAGGGAGGCCUCAUGCAACUCUCCAUCAUCUCCAACGUCUGAAACCCCUUUAGAUGAAGAGGCUGCUUCCAGAGGUUGAAAGAGGAAAGGGAGAACAAGUGUACAAGAGUUAAGGGUUGGCUUAAAUUGCAAGCCACGAGAUUGUAGAGAGUCAUAAACUAUACUUUCUUCAAGUGGAGGAAUACAUAAUUCAAUACUAAUAUUUAUUCUUCUACACAUUGAUGUAGCUAUGCCAUUCAUAGAGAAAAGCAUAUUGAUCUUACUUUUUUGUGGUAUGGAUUAAAAGAUAACAUUAGUCAUUUCCUCUCCUCUUUUCAAUUCUAAUGACUACUUCUGUCAUUCUCCCAACCCGAGAAGUCUACAACCAUGGUAGCUACUAUAUAAUCCUUCAAAAUCUUAGUUGUCAUGAAGCAAGCAUUUAAUGAUCAUGGCCAUUAUGUCUUUGAUGAUUGUCCAAAGUUUUGUAGGAAUUUUCUUUCUCAAAACUUGUAUUCUCUUGCUAAUGUAUCUUGGGAAAACAUGCAUUUGAUAAGAAGGGACAAGCUCUAAUUUUUUUCA